rnacentral:tRNA from 1 species
GGGGCUGUAGCUCAGUGGCAGAGCACUUGCCUAGCAUGCGUGAGGCACUGGGUUUGAUCCUCAGCACCA